GACGAACGCUGGCGGCGUGCCUAAUACAUGCAAGUAGAACGCUGAAGGAGGAGCUUGCUUCUCUGGAUGAGUUGCGAACGGGUGAGUAACGCGUAGGUAACCUGCCUGGUAGCGGGGGAUAACUAUUGGAAACGAUAGCUAAUACCGCAUAAUAGUAGAUGUUGCAUGACAUUUGCUUAAAAGGUGCAAUUGCAUCACUACCAGAUGGACCUGCGUUGUAUUAGCUAGUUGGUGGGGUAACGGCUCACCAAGGCGACGAUACAUAGCCGACCUGAGAGGGUGGUCGGCCACCCUGGGACUGGGACACGGCCCAGACUCCUACGGGAGGCAGCAGUAGGGAAUCUUCGGCAAUGGGCGGAAGUCUGACCGGGCAACGCCGCGGGAGUGAAGAAGGGUUUCGGAUCGUAAAGCUCUGUUGUAAGAGAAGAAAGAGUGUGGGAGUGGAAAGUUCACACUGUGACGGUAUCUUACCAGAAAGGGACGGCUAACUACGUG
rnacentral:rRNA from 1 species